UCUUUCAUCUCUUUUCAUCGUAAUUGACUUCACCCUACAGUCGGUUGAAGUCAAUUGUACUGUUUUGGAUAACUUGUGUUUUGUCGGUAUUUUUAUUAUGGUAAACCAAACAGUAGAAGUGGUUGUGUACGGCCAAAAACGACUUCACUCAACUCCACUUUUAUCGCAAAAAAAAAAAAACUAAGAGGGCUUUUGGAUCGACGAAUUUCUAAAUCUAAUGUAACUGAAGUGCAGUAGUGUUUGUGUUUUCUUAAAGUGUGAUUUUUUUUUUAUUUGUUUGGACAUAACUCGUACAGUUUAAAAGUUAAAUUCAAUCAUUUCUUCUGUUUAUUUUAGUAUAAUUUGAUGCUUGUGAAAUUAGAUUUUUAGCUUCAUUGUUUGUUUUGAUGUAAGUAAAUAGAUCAUGUUACCUCCGAAAUGUAGUGAUAAACUUACACUUAUAAAAUCCAAUUUAAGAACUAAAUCUCUCAUUAUUAUUUGGAAGUAAUAUUAACCCAUUGUAGAAAAAAAAAAGUAAAUCUAACCCAUUCAAAAGGAAGUAGAAUUUAGGUUUUAAUAUUUAAUAAAUUUUUUUAGAGAAAGUUAAGUGCGGUGGAACUUGAGUUUGAUACUUUAGAAGGAAAAGUCAAAAGUAGGUGAAGCGGAGGCUUAAACAUAACUUAAGUUAAAUUAUUUUUUUGACUUACAAUAAAAUAAAUACCAUAAGUUAUAGAACUUGAGUUCCAUCUCUCCACUUACACCAUCCUUAAAUGUAUUAGGGGGUUGUUUGAUUCAACAUAAUUAUAAAUACAAUAUAGUUAGAUGUGUAUAUAGUUGGAAAUGCAAUAAUUAUAAUUAUAUGCAUCUUAUUUGGUUAAAUCUAGUAGAAAGCGUUGCAAAUAUAAAUACUUCUUUUCGUUGCAUGCGCUUGAGAAGUGUAUUUACGAAUUUAUACCAUUUUAUAUAUAGGGUGGUGGGAUAAACCCUAUGGUGGAAAAGAAAAAAAAAAAUUUAAAAAGUCAUUAGGGAGGUAAAUUUACCUUUGUUUAAAAUUACUGUCUUCAAAUUCUGUAGUUAGAAUUGCGGCGAAUAUAGGCAUAGUUCCAAUUACUACAGUUGAGACUCAUCAUGCAGUUGUAACUACAACAAUUAAAAUCAAAUACAUUAAAAAAAACAUCGAAUUUGGAUUUAUAUGCAGUUAAAACUUAAGUAUAAUAAUAACUAUAUGCAACCAACCAAUUUCUAAAUAAAAGAAUAAUACUGCUUGUACAUACCAUUUAACGAUGUACAUUGUACAUCACUUCAAUUCAAGA
rnacentral:lncRNA from 1 species